UUAUCUCUGUAGAGUCUGCAUAUCAAUAAGCGGAGGAAAAGAAACUAACAAGGAUUCCCUUAGUAACGGCGAGUGAAGCGGGAAGAGCUCAAAUUUGAAAUCUUCAAGGUUCUACCUUGACGAAUUGUAGUUUAAAGAAGUGUUUUCUGUUAGAUGAGUAGCAAAAGUUCCUUGGAAUGGGACAUCAUAGAGGGUGAGAAUCCCGUAUUUGGUUAUUCAUUCUAGCUUUGUGAUACACUUUCAAAGAGUCGGAUUGUUUGGGAAUGCAGUCCAAAAUGGGUGGUAAAUUUCAUCUAAAGCUAAAUAUUGGCGAGAGACCGAUAGCGAACAAGUACCGUGAGGGAAAGAUGAAAAGAACUUUGAAAAGAGAGUUAAACAGUACGUGAAAUUGUCAAAAGGGAAGCGUUUGACACCAGUGUUGUUUUUCCGAAAAUCAAUUAAAAAUUGAUUCAUGCCAGGUUGUAUUGACCUUAUCAGCUUGCAAUUUGGUUUUGGGUCUCUUUUUGAUGCACUUUUCGGUUAACAAGUCAACAUCAAUUUCCUUUGCUGUAAAAAGGUAAGAGGAAGGUGGCUUCAAUUUCGGUUGAAGUAUUUAUAGCCUUUUAUCUCUGCAGUCGGGGAGAUUGAGGUCUGCAGCGUAGAUCCUUCGGGGCUAGAUACAUUUAUGCUAAGUUAUAGCUUUUCAUAGACAACUUGUUGACUAUGCUUAGUCAUGUAGCUUACUCGUAAGUGCUAUUUUACCUACGCUUAGGAUGUUGAAGACUCUACAGAGAUA
rnacentral:rRNA from 1 species